GCCGAUGUAGCUCAGCUGGUAGAGCAGCUGAUUUGUAAUCAGCCGGCCGGCGGUUCGAGUCCGUCCAUCGGCU
rfam:Bacteroidetes bacterium 38_7 MPI_scaffold_1473, whole genome shotgun sequence.